rnacentral:rRNA from 1 species
UACAGAGGUCUCAAGCGUUGUUCGGAUUCAUUGGGCGUAAAGGGCGCGUAGGCGGCGAGGUAAGUCGGGUGUGAAAUCUCAGAGCUCAACUCUGAAACUGCACUCGAUACUGCUUUGCUAGAGGACUGGAGAGGAGAUUGGAAUUCACGGUGUAGCAGUGAAAUGCGUAGAGAUCGUGAGGAAGACCAGUGGCGAAGGCGGAUCUCUGGACAGUGCCUGACGCUGAGGCGCGAAGGCCAGGGGAGCAAACGGG